UCCUGUUACUAAGUACUAGUGCCGCAGGAGUACUUUCAACCUCCUGCUGCUCAAGUGCUUAUCAAUUGGA
rnacentral:pre_miRNA from 1 species